rnacentral:rRNA from 1 species
UACAGAGGUGGCAAGCGUUGUUCGGAAUUACUGGGCGUAAAGGGCGCGUAGGCGCCUUGUCAGUCAGACGUGAAAUCCCCAGGCUUAACUUGGGAACUGCGUCUGAUACUACAAGGCUGGAGUUCGGGAGAGGGAUGCAGAAUUCCAGGUGUAGCGGUGAAAUGCGUAGAUAUCUGGAGGAAUACCGGUGGCGAAGGCGGCAUCCUGGACCGAGAUUGACACUGAUGAGCGAAAGCUAGGGGAGCAA